UGAGGAAUAUUGGACAAUGGGGGAAACCCUGAUCCAGCCAUGCCGCGUGAGUGAUGAAGGCCUUCGGGUUGUAAAGCUCUUUUAGAUGUGAAGAUAAUGACGGUAGCAUCAGAAAAAGCUCCGGCUAAAUUCGUGCCAGCAGCCGCGGUAAUACGAAUGGAGCAAGCGUUGUUCGGAAUCACUGGGCUUAAAGCGUGCGUAGGCGGAUCAGCAAGUCAGGAGUGAAAUCCCAGGGCUCAACCCUGGAACUGCUCUUGAAACUAUUGAUCUAGAAUCCCGGAGGGGCCAGUAGAAUUCUCAGUGUAGAGGUGAAAUUCGCAGAUAUUGAGAGGAAUACCAGUGGCGUAGGCGACUGGCUGGACGGGUAUUGACGCUGAGGCACGAAAGCGUGGGUAGCAAA
rnacentral:rRNA from 1 species